GUUGGAGAGCUGUACAUUUCAGUGCAGAGGAAAACGGCAGCAGGUGGCAGGGAAGAUGGUCAGGACCAAGGCCCCUUGAGGUAUUGCAUUAUUGGGCCUGCCUGAAGUGACAAACCUCAGAGACCUCCUCCCUCCUCUUACACCAGAGCAGAGUGUAUCUCUGUGACUACUGGAAAUGUUCAUCCUGGUAAACCUCAUCCAUAAAAGAAACCUCCCAGGACUCCUCAGGAGCGGAACAGUGCAUUUUUUGAGAGAGCUGUUAAUGGAUGUUGCCUUUUCUUUGAAGUCAAAUAUACUUUUGCUCUUCUUGGCCUAACUGCGGCAGCCACCUAUGCAAAGAGGGCUGUGUUUGCCACUGUCAUCCUGAAGACAUCACAGCAGACCUGCUCCCCGGGCCAUGCAUUGCUUCAGCAGUGGAGAUUGGACCUCAGCUCUACAAACCCCAGGUGUCCUUCCUUCCUGAGCACCCUCCUCUUCAAAGCUGGCUUCCUUCAGCUGUAGGUGGGGUUCGUGCUGCUGCAUUGUUCCCGGAGUACUGAGCCUUAUUUACCCAGCUGGUGUCAGUUCAGAGAUCUGUUUAGAUUGUUCUGUAGAAAGAUUUGCCUGAAAGGUUUGCAUAUUUCAAGAAACCGCAAUGAUUAAGUACACAUGAAAGAAAGCAUUAUGAUGAAUAAUCAAGACAUAAUCAAUGAUACCCUUUUUGCAUUAUAAAUGAUGACGCUUAUACUCAACAGCUUUUAGGCAGAGCGUGGGUGUGACAGUUUGAAAAACAGCGUAUAGCAUGACAUGAGACCUGUCGUGUCUUAAAUGAAGUAAUUAAUGACCUGCUAAGCAUGCAGAUUUUAAAUGUGUCAGUUAUUUUUUUGAAAUAUAUCAACAGCAAAAAAUUAUUUGCAAUUUAUCAUUAUUAUUAGCAAAAACCUAUAAUAAGAAUGCUGAGGUGCAAUGAGAAAUAGCACUGUUAUGACAAAAAUGCUUUAUGCUUUUACCACUGAAAAAAUUAAAUCAAACCUCCCUCUGAGGUUCUUCUCACUCAACAUCCUCCUCAGUGUAUCAUAUAAGAGGGAGACAGCUUUAUUUUUUGUAUACACGGACUGGCUAUGUUUUAGGACAUUGACCUCAAGUCCAGAACCCACUGCUUAAAACUGUGGCUUGAAAGAAAAACAUAAAUUAAGUUUUUCUGCCAAAUGUCUGAUCCUAAUCCUGCAAUAUCUGAAUUUGUGCAACUCUCCUUCCAAAACUUGACUGGCAUAAGAAAAGGUCAGCUUUCAAUUUUAAAGAAAGUUGAAUAAAGCAUGAUUUUCUAGGUGUUUGUCAAGUCUAGCAGAGAAGCAAGAUACAGACCUACUGGUGUGUUCCCAUCUGAAUCUUAUCCUGAUAGCUGUGGUUCACCAACCAUUGCCAUUUUGUAAAUAUUUAUUGUUUUUAAUUUUUUUGGUAACAAUGAAUACAAGAUGCAAAAUGGACAGAUUUAUUCUCCACAGGAGUUCUUUAAAUACCUCCUUAUACUUCACAGAUUAAACAAGGUUUUUAGGCGAACUCUAGAUUGUGGACAAUGGUGCUUAUAUGCAGUGCUGGAAGUGGAUGGUUUGGGAAGUACUUAACCGCCUCAAAAACACUACGCAUUUGUUUUGGUAUUGAAAAUCUUACCUUUUAUAUGGUUUUGACUUCUGAAAGCUUGAAAUAAACAAAGCACAGAAAAGGUUCACUUUAAUCUCUUUGGCAUCUGGAAUAUAAAGUGGAGCUCAAGAGAUUAUAAUUUAACAGAGAAUAUUCCUUAAUCUAAGAAUGUGCUGUUUUAAGAUUGUG